ACGCUCGACACCUACGGGGGCAGCAGUGGGGAAUAUUGCACAAUGGGGGAAACCCUGAUGCAGCGACGCCGCGUGAAGGAAGAAGUAUCUCGGUAUGUAAACUUCUAUCAGCAGGGAAGAAAAUGACGGUACCUGACUAAGAAGCCCCGGCUAAUUACGUGCCAGCAGCCGCGGUAAUCUGAGCGGGCUGGCAAGGC
rnacentral:rRNA from 1 species